AGAGUUUGAUCCUGGCUCAGGAUGAACGCUAGCUACAGGCUUAACACAUGCAAGUCGAGGGGCAGCAUUUUAGUUCGCUUGCAAACUGAAGAUGGCGACCGGCGCACGGGUGAGUAACACGUAUCCAACCUGCCGAUAACUCCGGAAUAGCCUUUCGAAAGAAAGAUUAAUACCGGAUGGCAUACGAAUAUCGCAUGAUAUUUUUAUUAAAGAAUUUCGGUUAUCGAUGGGGAUGCGUUCCAUUAGUUUGUUGGCGGGGUAACGGCCCACCAAGACUACGAUGGAUAGGGGUUCUGAGAGGAAGGUCCCCCACAUUGGAACUGAGACACGGUCCAAACUCCUACGGGAGGCAGCAGUGAGGAAUAUUGGUCAAUGGGCGAGAGCCUGAACCAGCCAAGUAGCGUGAAGGAUGAAGGCUCUAUGGGUCGUAAACUUCUUUUAUAUGGGAAUAAAGUUUUCCACGUGUGGAAUUUUGUAUGUACCAUAUGAAUAAGGAUCGGCUAACUCCGUGCCAGCAGCCGCGGUAAUACGGAGGAUCCGAGCGUUAUCCGGAUUUAUUGGGUUUAAAGGGAGCGUAGGUGGAUUGUUAAGUCAGUUGUGAAAGUUUGCGGCUCAACCGUAAAAUUGCAGUUGAAACUGGGAGUCUUGAGUACAGUAGAGGUGGGCGGAAUUCGUGGUGUAGCGGUGAAAUGCUUAGAUAUCACGAAGAACUCCGAUUGCGAAGGCAGCUCACUAGACUGUCACUGACACUGAUGCUCGAAAGUGUGGGUAUCAAACAGGAUUAGAUACCCUGGUAGUCCACACAGUAAACGAUGAAUACUCGCUGUUUGCGAUAUACAGUAAGCGGCCAAGCGAAAGCAUUAAGUAUUCCACCUGGGGAGUACGCCGGCAACGGUGAAACUCAAAGGAAUUGACGGGGGCCCGCACAAGCGGAGGAACAUGUGGUUUAAUUCGAUGAUACGCGAGGAACCUUACCCGGGCUUAAAUUGCAACAGAAUAUAUUGGAAACAGUAUAGCCGUAAGGCUGUUGUGAAGGUGCUGCAUGGUUGUCGUCAGCUCGUGCCGUGAGGUGUCGGCUUAAGUGCCAUAACGAGCGCAACCCUUAUCUUUAGUUACUAACAGGUCAUGCUGAGGACUCUAGAGAGACUGCCGUCGUAAGAUGUGAGGAAGGUGGGGAUGACGUCAAAUCAGCACGGCCCUUACGUCCGGGGCUACACACGUGUUACAAUGGGGGGUACAGAAGGCGGCUACCUGGUGACAGGAUGCUAAUCCCAAAAACCUCUCUCAGUUCGGAUCGAAGUCUGCAACCCGACUUCGUGAAGCUGGAUUCGCUAGUAAUCGCGCAUCAGCCAUGGCGCGGUGAAUACGUUCCCGGGCCUUGUACACACCGCCCGUCAAGCCAUGAAAGCCGGGGGUACCUGAAGUACGUAACCGCAAGGAGCGUCCUAGGGUAAAACUGGUAAUUGGGGCUAAGUCGUAACAAGGUAGCC
rnacentral:rRNA from 1 species